AGCCGUCUUUUGCGAAACGAACGCCUCCUAACCCGCGAGACAGCUGGCGUGUAGCACAGGGAUCGCACGAUAUAUGCACCCCUGUAUUCGUUUCGGCGUCUCAUUGCUGUAUACACUUGCCGAAACACCCCCUGCACGACGACGUCACCCAGACGGUGAACAGCCAUGAACCAGUUCACGAAGUGCAGGAUGAAUCAAAUGGACACAAUUCUUCGAAGGGUGCACUCCCCAGUACAUUCUGUACGACACGACUGGCUUGGCCCUUCAUUUCAUUUAAAACAACAAAUGAAAAUUUUGUAUCAGUACCCGUUGGGUACCCAUGCCUUAUUUUUUUUUUUUUUUGAGCGUGUAUGCAUGUUAUUAGUUUUACAACUGGGGAGCAAAAGCCUGUGAGUGCACAAGCUACGGAGUUCUUGUGUACUUUACCCGCUUCAUUAUGUUCGCCUGUUACCUCCAAGAAGAGCAAAAAAGAAGCGAGGGAUUUCGGAUAUUCAAUGGAUCUAUAUGUAUCCCUGGAACUGGAAUACAUUAUUUACGAAAUAUAUGAUGAUACUAUUCCG